CUGUUGCAGCCAGUAGAAGACAGCCAAUCUACAUACAAGACACGCCGACACACACCGGAGUUGGCACGGUAGAAAUACUGCGUCACAACUCACAUCGCAAUGCGGUCGCAGAUCCAUCCACGCUCGGAGAAGACGAUACCAAUGCAUCAUCUGCUAGAUGUGUAACGUCAUCUUCGACAGCUCUUCAGGUGGCGUGCGUUGUCAUGGUGAUGGUUAUCAAUAUAUUGUUUCCUGUAGCGUUUCCCUCGAGUUCGCAUGUACUUACGAUUUCAUAGGUGUAGUUGAUGUAAGAUAGCCAAGGUUUUGCGUAUCAAUAUUAUAGUGGUCGGUUCGACGAAUGCGCGCUGAUAGACACAAUGCUGUAACAUAGGGUGUCGGGAUAUUUCUUUCGUUUAUUCAUCUUUGGUUACAGCUCUUUGAUUCACAAUAUUCGUUCACAAUAGUCGUUCACAGUUACGAACUCCGUUCACCCUUGAAAACAGAUUUAAUAGACCACAGCGCGUCUCCUCGGCUAUAUUAAAUCGUCGUCCUAAGCUAUAACAAGUAAACUCUGGUGUAACUACAUGUCUAGACAUGACACGUAGCUGCCUAUACGUAGCUGCACUCACGUCAAAGCACGGAGGCCAAAAAGAAGCCAGUGACCAACCCGUGGCGAGCAGCCUACUCUCGUGUUGUCACUCUACCGGACAACGCCAGCUAUCGGCCGACAUUAUCAAAACAAUUUUAAACAUUAUCAAAAAACAAACAAACGUUUGGCCGUUACAAAUAUCGUUUAUAAACCUAAUUAAAUAUAAGUGUGCCAACCCGUAUCUUAUUAAAGCGAGUUUUCACAUGCAGCCAUGUGAUGUUGCACAAUCAUGUGUCACAUUAAGUCCUGUACGACGUAUAUAAAGAGUGAUUUCUUGCAUGCGACAUGGUUAAAGUGAGGAAACGUUUUUUUGCGAAAUGAUUUAUUAAUUAUCGAUUAUCAUGUGUCUGUAUCGAGUCCGAUGUUCAUAGAUUUACAUCCGGAGCACCCCGUGAUAUCACCACACAAAUCACGUAUUAUUGCUGGGAUAUUUCUCGUCAGCGUUUAGCAGUUGCGUUGAUAACUACUAUUUUAAAGUCUAAUUUAUUUUAAACUCGAUACAGGCUUCGUUUCAUAUCAUAAGUUUGUGUGUAUAUGAUUGUGUAUUGAAUGACAGUAAGUAAGUGUGUGUGCGCGGGGAAGUGAUCUUUGUCAUGUGAAUUAUGACUUAUACGUUUUUAUAUUAUUAAAAAAAGUUAUAGCUGGUGGUGAGAGGAAGAAUUAUUAUCCCGAUCAUAUGCCCCUCUUAAAAUAUUAUUUUACGCUGCCUGCAUAGAGAUACAAUAGACAAAUAAUUUGUAAAAAACAAGUAUAUUUAUUCUAUAGUCCUAACUAUGUAUAUCAACAAUAAGUAAAGGCUCGAUUGGUUUUGGUUGAAACUUCGUCUAUACAUUUCACUCUUUUACCAAUCAUUUACAAUUGCGGUAUCUGUGCAUGUAUAGUAAGUAUUAAGGUAACAUCUAUUAAUAGAAAAAGUUUGUCUUACUUAUGUACGAUAUUACAAAGAGUUAAUAAUUAUGAAA
rnacentral:lncRNA from 1 species